GAAAUUACUGCAACAACUCUGAAUUCUAACAUCUAUAUCAUCAGUCCUCUCGUAAACACACGCAUAAAUCUUCUGAACAAAAUGGCAAAAUGGUCGUGUGGAAGCUGGAGUCUAUCCCAGGAGAUUCGGGGCACAAGCCGGGGGACAUGCUAGACAGUGUGCCAAUCCAAUUUAAAGCACAAUCACACAUUCAUACAUAUUGGCACACUGCAGACAGUUUAGAGAUGCCAAUCAGCCUACAGCUCAUGUUUUUGGACAGAGGGAGAAAACCACAGAACCUGGAGGAAGCUCCUAAAGCACAGGGACGGUGAACUUUCAAGCAGGAAACUGGAUGAAGACGAGAGCCCUUGGCCAAGAGAUUACUAAUGCGAACCCAGAGGAAGAGCUUUCAUCAGCAUCAGUUAACAUCAGAGAAUUAAACACAAG